CAGGUGUCCUGGCGUCCGGCCGAUGUCUGGCCGGCGACCCGCUCUCCCGCCGCGUGUGUUUGUAAUCCCAGGUAAUGAAGAUCAUGAACCUGCUACACAGAAGCUUGUUAAUGCUGAGUGACCGACAGGCAGUCCUUUUGCAAGGAGACAUUUAAGGAAGAAAAAGAAAAUCAUCACUACCAGGAAAUAUCCUGCCUAAUUCAAAACAAAAUGACGCUGCCCCCUGAGAGUCACAAGAGCACCUCGCUAUGUGUGGUCCUCCUGUGGAAAGCCCUGAGCCCCCUGGACAGCCCAGUUCCCUCUUCGGAGCCACCCCCCAGUACUGCUCCUCUCAAGCCAUCAGCCUGUUCCGGAGUGGCCUUCCCAAGCAGCACCCCUGUCCUCAGUCUCUACCAGCACCAUCCAACAGAAAUGGAAUGCCAACCACCAGAGUAAUUUUAAAUUUAUUAAUCACAAUAAAAAAAAGAAAUGGGGUAAAAUUUAGUAAUAUAUUUAUGCUAACACAUCUAAAAUAUAAUUCAACAUGUAAUCAACA